rnacentral:tRNA from 1 species
AUCUAGCUGGCUCAGUCAGUAGAGCGUGUGACUCUUGAUCUCAGGGUUAUGAGUUCAAGCCCCACGUUGGGUG